AAAUACUAAAGUUACUGUUCAUAUAGUAAGUUUCUAUAAAUAGCCGAGUUACUGUGGUAAGUUUCCAUUUUCGGAAACUUACCGAGCCCUCUCCCUUCUCUCUCCCCGACCCUCUCUUCCUCUCCGACCUCUUCACCUUCUUCCGGCCAUAACUCCUCCAUCCGGCGAUGGAUUUUGACGUAUAAGAUGUCGUUGGAAAGCUCUCUUCCUAUUCUUCAUUUCUGGAUUCGUUUCGUAGCUUAAUAUGAACUGUGGAAGGUGCAGCAACGAGAAGAAGAGGACGGUCACUGUAGCAGUUUUGAGUCAACGCCGAUAUUUUCCGAUUCCGGCAGUCUCCGGCCACCAAACUGGCAUCGAAGGGUUCUUGGGUUUUCAGGGCUUGUGUUCAACGGCCAAAUUGGAGCUAUUCCAGGGCAAUGCCGCGAGCUACGGUUAAAUGAAGGAACUCGUUUGCGUGGUCGCCCAAUAGUACUUUUGCAGGCGAAAUUAGUUGAGGUCGGGCGUACAUGGAGUCGAGGCAUAGCCAACAGCAUUGCUUCCGCGUACUCUUUCUAUUUCUGUUUUCUUUGUUACCUAGUGGAUUAGUAUUGCUCUGAUAACCUAUGGGAUUAAUAUUAUUUUUGGGUUGAGACUGAUAUUUGUGAAAUUGGAGUUGUGAUUUGGGGAGCAGAUGGCUCCAGAAGAUCCAAAAGAUUAAGGAUGGAUGAUUUAGAAGUGUAAAUGUUUUCCUACAGGUUUUGGGUAGCCUACUUUUAGGGGAAGUUCUGCCAAAUUUUUGGUAGAAUCUCUUCUAAAGUGGGCCCCGCAGGGCCACUUCGGAUUUCAGGGUGGAAUCUGGGGCGGGUCCUGUCAGUUUCACCCUUCGAGCUCUUUGGCUCCUGCAGAGGCCUCCCUUCCUUGUGGUGCUUAUUAGUUCAUCUCCCCAAGAUCGUGGCUAUCGUCUAUUCAAGUCGCUGGUUCUUGCACUAGCUCUCAUCAACAUGUCGAUCGGAAACUAGUAGUGCUGCAAGUGGUUAAAUUGACUAGGGUUAUAGUCUUUUA